AUUGAACGCUGGCGGCGUGCCUAAUACAUGCAAGUCGAGCGGAAAGGCCCUUCGGGGUACUCGAGCGGCGGACGGGUGAGUAACGCGUAAGAAUGUACCCCAAAGUGAGGAAUAACUGCUCGAAAGAGUAGCUAAUGCCGCAUGUGCUCUUCGGAGGAAAGCUUUAUGCGCUUUGGGAACAGCUUGCGUCUGAUUAGCUAGUUGGUAAGGUAACGGCUUACCAAGGCGACGAUCAGUAGCUGGUCUGAGAGGAUGAUCAGCCACACUGGGACUGAGACACGGCCCAGACUCCUACGGGAGGCAGCAGUAGGGAGUUUUCCACAAUGGACGAGAGUCUGAUGGAGCAACGCCGCGUGCUGGAUGAGGGCCUUCGGGUCGUAAACAGCUUUUGUCUGUGACGAAUAUGACGGUAGCAGACGAAUAAGGAUCGGCUAACUACGUGCCAGCCGCCGCCGUAA
rnacentral:rRNA from 1 species